GACAGAGGAUGCAAGCGUUGUUCGGAAUUACUGGGCGUAAAGCGCGCGUAGGUGGUCUUGUGUGUCUGGUGUGAAAUCCCUUGGCUUAACCAAGGAAGUGCGCCAGAAACUGCGAGACUUGAAUUCGGGAGAGGAUGGUAGAAUUCUCAGUGUAGAGGUGAAAUUCGUAGAUACUGGGAGGAACACCGGUGGCGAAGGCGACCAUCUGGACCGACAUUGACACUAAAGUGCGAAAGCGUGGGUAGCAAACAGG
rnacentral:rRNA from 1 species